AAAUCAGGAACGAUGUAAUUGGACACGUCAGACAGACCUCACAGAUAAAAAAAAAAACGUUGAAAUCCUUCACCUCACCUCUACCACUUCGUCUUCUCCAAUCAAGAGCAAAGAAGCCGAGAACCACUUCUACACAAUCAAUACUUUCGAUUCAAUAAUGAUUCCGUUUCAUCUUCCUCUUUUCCUCUUUCUGUAUGUACUGAUCUUCUCUCUUUCGUACAAACCAGAACCCUAGAACCACUCAAAGCUCAAUCCAUGGCGAUGAAACCACAAUUACGGACGCUUCUCUCCAGUUCUCACCUGCUCCCAACAGAUUAAAUGGCUUCUUAGGCUUUCAAAAAUUCCCGAACUCACCAAAGUUCCAAGCUUUAGUAAAGAAGCUGAGGCUUACUUGCAAGCGAUCAUCGAUGGGUUCAACGUGGAAGCCGCGUUGGAAGUCAAGAAGAUCGAGAAAGUAACCAACCACGAUGUCAAGGCAGUGGAGUACUUCUUGAAACAAAAAUGUGAAUCUCAUCCAGAGUUUGCUAAGGUUCUUGAGUUUUCCAUUUCGCUUGCACCUCUGAGGACAUCAACAACCUCUCCCACCGUUUGAUGCUUCGAGAAUCGCUUAGCUCCGUUAUACUCCCGUCCAUGGAUGAGCUCAUCAAGUUUUUAUCAUUUUUUUUUGUUUCUUCGUUGCUUUUUACACAAGUUUUUAUUUUGUUGUUGUUGCUGCAGAGGUGGCUUCUUGGAUGUCACGGUAGAGAGACAAGCAGCGAGGAUAAGGAGUAUGUAUCUGAAAACAAUUCUCAGACAAGACAUUGGAUUUUUCAAUGUGGAAACAAACACAGGAGAGGUUGUUGGUAGAAUGUCUGGAGAUACUGUUCUUAUACAAGACGCCAUGGGUGAGAAGGUUGGGAAGUUUAUUCAGCUGGUAUCUACAUUCGUCGGUGGAUUUGCAUUAGCUUUUGUUAAAGGAUGGCUAAGGUCUUCAUCGAGAAUUAUAUAUUAUGUACAAAAGCAACAAGGUUCACAACGGUUAUACAAAUAGAGGAAAAUGAUCCCGAUGAUGCCUCUUACCACAUUCCAUCCCCUCCGAUACAAACAGUUGAUUGACAUAGCCACUGGUACCAACAACUUACCAGAUGUAGUUGGACAAAUAAGAAUGUUUCAAGGUAACGAUCUCCGAGGGCAACAACGGAGGUCAGAAUUGGUCUACUACUAAACAGGUCAAAAAUGGUCUGCUUGCCCAGUUUAGAGACUUACAUAGCAUGACAAUCAUGAAAUACAAAGUUGUAAUCAUUACAAGCAUCAAUCCCAGAGUAUUUAAAGGAAAACUGAUACUCGCCACAACUCCUGCUACUCGAUUUUAGUGUGACAGCACUAUUAAUCUCAUACAAAGAUUAAAAUUUCUAGAUUUGACAAUCUCAAUAGCAGAGAUAGAAGCAAUUUCCAGCAGAUAUAUGGAGUUGCAUGAGGUCUAUGACCACCAAAAAACAAGCCUAUAAGAUUGUUGAACACUGUAGUUUCACAACAACACUAAUAGAGAGUCAGGAACACACACACAAACCAUAUUUAACUCUUAUGCACCAUAAUAAGCAUACAGGUUGUGAUUGGAAAAAAUUAAAUAUUUGACCACCAA